AGGACGAACGCUGGCGGCGUGCGUAACACAUGCAAGUCGAACGAGUGUAGCAAUACACGAGUGGCGGACGGGUGAGGAACACGUGGCUACCAACCUGGCACUGGGGAAUACCCGUGAGAAAUCAUGGUUAAUACCGCAUACGCCCGCAAGGGGAAAGUCGCAAGACGGUGCGAGACGGGGCUGCGCCCGAUUAGCUAGUUGGUGGGGUAAUGGCCUACCAAGGCGUCGAUCGGUAACUGGUCUGAGAGGAUGGCCAGUCACAUUGGGAUUGAGAACGGCCCAAAUCCCUACGGGGAGCAGCAGUGAGGAAUCUUCCACAAUGGGCGC
rnacentral:rRNA from 1 species